AACCUACAUAGUGAUAUGUAGCUGAACUAUCAGAAGUCAGCAGAAGUCAUAGUACCAGUUCAGUCAUGAAUGAACUGGGAAGGAC
rfam:Clostridium acetobutylicum ATCC 824, complete genome.